CGGAUGGAUUUCCUAUAUGACUGAGUGGCGGACGGGUGAGUAACGCGUGGGGAACCUGCCCUAUACAGGGGGAUAACAGCUGGAAACAGCUGCUAAUACCGCAUAAGCGCACAGAAUCGCAUGAUUCAGUGUGAAAAGCCCUGGCAGUAUAGGAUGGUCCCGCGUCUGAUUAGCUGGUUGGUGAGGUAACGGCUCACCAAGGCGACGAUCAGUAGCCGGCUUGAGAGAGUGAACGGCCACAUUGGGACUGAGACACGGCCCAAACUCCUACGGGAGGCAGCAGUGGGGAAUAUUGCACAAUGGGGGAAACCCUGAUGCAGCGACGCCGCGUGAGUGAAGAAGUAUUUCGGUAUGUAAAGCUCUAUCAGCAGGGAAGAAAACAGACGGUACCUGACUAAGAAGCCCCGGCUAACUACGUGCCAGCAGCCGCGGUAAUACGUAGGGGGCAAGCGUUAUCCGGAAUUACUGGGUGUAAAGGGUGCGUAGGUGGCAUGGUAAGUCAGAAGUGAAAGCCCGGGGCUUAACCCCGGGACUGCUUUUGAAACUGUCAUGCUGGAGUGCAGGAGAGGUAAGCGGAAUUCCUAGUGUAGCGGUGAAAUGCGUAGAUAUUAGGAGGAACACCAGUGGCGAAGGCGGCUUACUGGACUGUCACUGACACUGAUGCACGAAA
rnacentral:rRNA from 1 species